UGCAGAGAGCAGAGAGACGCUGAGUUCUGACGCCUUGGGGAGGGCCCGGGGCCCACACCUCUGAGCCUCCCUGGCCCCGCUAGGGAUUCAGGUGCAAAAUACUUCGGAGCCUCAGCCAGAAGGAAAAGACACACAGAGGAAGCGGUGAUUGUCGACACUGAAUUAGAGAGGCCCCUUGGUGUUUGAAUUGAUUGGAAAUUCUCUCUGAAGUUGUAGCCUCCCAAGUCUUUUCAGCUCUCCUGCAUCAGCCUAGAGGUCUUGCCUUUCACCAGCACCGUUCUGUCACACGGUCAUGCUGUUGUAGCUUAUAGUAAGUCUUGACAUCAGUAAGAGUCUUCCCACUUUGUUCUUCCUUUCCAAAAUUGUUUUGUAUGUUCUGAC